rnacentral:rRNA from 1 species
UACGGAGGAUGCAAGCGUUAUCCGGAAUGAUUGGGCGUAAAGCGUCCGCAGGUGGCAAUGUAAGUCUGCUGUCAAAGCGUCUGGCUCAACCAGAUAAAGGCAGUGGAAACUACAUAGCUAGAGUAAGGUAGGGGUAGAGGGAAUUCCUGGUGUAGCGGUGAAAUGCGCAGAUAUCAGGAAGAACACCCGUGGCGAAGGCGGUUCUCUGGGACGGUACUGACGCUGAGACGCGAAAGCGUGGGGAGCAAACAGG